GACGAACGCUGGCGGCGUGCUUAACACAUGCAAGUCGAGCGGAAAGGCCCUUCGGGGUACUCGAGCGGCGAACGGGUGAGUAACACGUGAGCAACCUGCCCUUGGCUCUGGGAUAAGCCCGGGAAACUGGGUCUAAUACCGGAUAUGACUGAUCCUCGCAUGGGGGUUGGUGGAAAGUUUUUUUGGCUGAGGUUGGGCUCGCGGUCUAUCAGCUUGUUGGUGGGGUAGUGGCCUACCAAGGCGACGACGGAUAGCCGGCCUGAGAGGGCGACCGGCCACACUGGGACUGAGACACGGCCCAGACUCCUACGGGAGGCAGCAGUGGGGAAUAUUGCGCAAUGGGCGAGAGCCUGACGCAGCGACGCCGCGUGGGGGAUGAAGGCCUUCGGGUUGUAAACCUCUUUCAGCAUCCACGAAGUUCCAGUAUUCGCUGGGGUGACGGUAGGUGCAGAAGAAGCGCCGGCUAACUACGUGCCAG
rnacentral:rRNA from 1 species